GACGAACGCUGGCGGCGUGCUUAACACAUGCAAGUCGAACGAAGAGCGAUGGAAGCUUGCUUCUAUCAAUCUUAGUGGCGAACGGGUGAGUAACGCGUAAUCAACCUGCCCUUCAGAGGGGGACAACAGUUGGAAACGACUGCUAAUACCGCAUACGAUCCAAUCUCGGCAUCGGGACUGGAUGAAAGGUGGCCUCUAUUUAUAAGCUAUCACUGAAGGAGGGGAUUGCGUCUGAUUAGCUAGUUGGAGGGGUAACGGCCCACCAAGGCGAUGAUCAGUAGCCGGUCUGAGAGGAUGAACGGCCACAUUGGGACUGAGACACGGCCCAGACACCUACGGGAGGCAGCAGUGGGGAAUCUUCCGCAAUGGACGAAAGUCUGACGGAGCAACGCCGCGUGAGUGAUGACGGCCUUCGGGUUGUAAAGCUCUGUUAAUCGGGACGAAUGGUUCUUGUGCGAAUAGUGCGAGGAUUUGACGGUACCGGAAUAGAAAGCCACGGCUAACUACGUG
rnacentral:rRNA from 1 species